UACGUAGGGUGCAAGCGUUGUCCGGAAUUAUUGGGCGUAAAGAGCUCGUAGGCGGUUCGUCGCGUCGGCUGUGAAAUCCCGAGGCUCAACCUCGGGUCUGCAGUCGAUACGGGCGGACUGGAGUACUGCAGGGGAGACUGGAAUUCCUGGUGUAGCGGUGAAAUGCGCAGAUAUCAGGAGGAACACCGGUGGCGAAGGCGGGUCUCUGGGCAGUAACUGACGCUGAGGAGCGAAAGCGUGGGGAGGCGAACAGG
rnacentral:rRNA from 1 species